rnacentral:rRNA from 1 species
GAUGAACGCUGGCGGCAUGCCUAAUACAUGCAAGUCGAACGAGCUUCCGUUGAAUGACGUGCUUGCACUGAUUUCAACAAUGAAGCGAGUGGCGAACUGGUGAGUAACACGUGGGAAAUCUGCCCAGAAGCAGGGGAUAACACUUGGAAACAGGUGCUAAUACCGUAUAACAACAAAAUCCGCAUGGAUUUUGUUUGAAAGGUGGCUUCGGCUAU